CCAAAAAGGGUCGAAUGCCAACGGGCUUGGAGAUGAAAAACAGCAUUGCUGUGCAAAACGCCACCGCUAUCCAGAGGAGCACGGAAAACAACGGCGAGAGCGUGCCUGUACAGAGGAGAAAGGGAGAUUUGAGAAAGGCAUCUUUGGAGACUCCAUUUUUCACCAAGAAACGGAUCCAAAAGAUCAAUUCCUUUGCCAGCAGAGCUAACAAAAGCGUGAUUCAUGCAUCGCAACUGCUGACCACGGCUUGCCCUAAUUGCAGCAGGAGCUAUUAUUCUCACAGUAUUGUUGCUUUUUUGCACAGAUACACAGCUGAGCAGCAUCACUGGGAUUAGAAAACAAUGAGACCGGGCCCUAGCCUCAACAUUCAGAUGGCAUCCGAACUUUUCCGAAGUUCGGGAGUGUUUUAUCCCUGGUGGGAGGUUGAAGGUCAGCUCUGACAGAAGACUUUCUUCGCCAACAAGAUUUGGAAACUUCUAAAGGAUCCUAAAAAAUUACUUUCAAGCCCAUCUGAAAGAUCCUCAGUCUGCUGGAAAAAGUCAUUGACUUUGCUCCCUUGUUCAUCUCUCUCUGUUGUAUUGAACACCCGACUUUUGGAUUCCCGAGUGAGGAAUUCACAAAUAUUGGGGACAGGAAAG